rnacentral:lncRNA from 1 species
CAUCCCCUCAAAUACUCUGCCCAGGAGCCUUUCCUGACCAUCCUAAUCCCAUGGCUGCACCUAACAGUCUGUUCCCUCCCUCUUCCUCAUCCCAGUACCAAUGUCCAAAGCUGUCCACUCCUAGUUUUGUUCUUGUCCUCUGUCUAGGUCUGUUUCUAUGUCCUGGCUAUAAUAUAUUCGUUAGACUGGAAACCCCCUAAGGCCAGUUAUCUUCUGGCUUCUCCCACCCUCUGCACACCUCAGCACAGCCAUGACUCAGAUAAGAGAAAAGCAAGGUCUCCCUGCAGGUGGUAAGGAAGGAGACCAAUGAACCCCAGAACAGGGAGAGGUGAGAGAACAAGGAUGCUACCCUGUCCCCAAGCCUCCCAUGCUCUCCUACCAACAGACAAAAACUUCAUGGGGGCAGCAGGAGCUUCAGGGAACUAUGAACAGUGACCUUCUGACACCAAAGGUUGAACUGAAUUAAGCAACUGAGAAGAGGAGUCAAGAUGAGUCUGGAAGAGGGGCCAAGUAGCCAGAGAAGCUUUCGUGGUGGGUUGAAAGGAACACUGGCCUCUCAAGGAAACUUGGAGUUGGGGGUCUGGCACUUACCAGCGGUGUGACCUUAGGAAGAUCAUGACCUCUCUGGACCUUGGCCUGAUCAUUUCAUCCUUCACCUGGAAGACACGCUGACAAUGCCUACCUUGGAGGAUAUAGGACGCAUCCCCAUCUGACCUGCUCAGGGUCUGCCCCCGAAGCUGUGGUGAUCUGUCUGUCUCUCUCCAUCUUUCUGCCUCACUGCCAAGCCUCUGCCUCUUCCACCCCAUCAAUUCAGGCACGUAGCUCAGGAGUCCUGCCACUCAGCUCCCUCACUGUCACUCAGGCAUGUCAUUUUUCCAGAAGCUACCAUUCGCGAGGAGGGGUGGCCUUGCCCUUUCCCUGGGAGCCCAGAAGACCAGCCCCACCUUGGCUCCCUCACCCC